UUUUGGUCCAAAUAGAAGCGGCAAUUUUUUUGGACAUAACCUGGUACCCAGAGAGUCUCACAGAGUCAAACACGCACCUUCAUUAUCUAGAGGCUCUGUCUGCUCAUCUUUAAAUAAAAAUAAGAUGGUUUUUUAGUGGAUUUUGGUGGAAUUGGAGCAAAACUCUCACAAAUCGCCAAGAUUUGAAUCAAAACAGGGGCUUAUUAAAUUGAUUUGUGCUUGAAUCAAAUCGAGGGUUUUCAAUCGUUUGAUUUAAAGGUGUUUUUGCUUAUGUAGUUUGGUUCGUUUAAAUCCUUCAUUUUCCGUAUCUAAUUUGUUUUUUAUCAUUGUUCUAGGAAUGAUUUAAAGAUUGGAUUUGAAUUUUGUUUAAGGCUUUGCUUUGGGUUUCUUGGAUAUUAACUGAUUUGAAUCUUCGAUCUGUGUUUCUUCAACUUAAGGUGUGUGGUCUGAAAUGGUCUCAUGAUGAUCGGGAACUUGCAUCUGGAGGCAAUGAUAAUCAGGAUCACUUUGUAUUCAUUGUCUUUGAAUUUAUCUAUCUUGUUCUCGAUAAAUGGAAGAAGCGGAUUGGAAUUGAUAGGUAAAGAGAGGAGGAAUGGAAAGAGUCCCUAAAAAGUUGGAAGGAUUUUUGCUCAACUCAUUUGAAAUUGCUAGUUUUUCAUCUUUUUGCUAUCACUGGUGAUGUAUGGUGGAUUUGUUAGCUACUUUGAUUUGGUAGUUAUUUUAAUUUGGUUAGAUUUGUUAGGUACUUUGAUUUGUACGAAAGAACAAUUUAUUGGGAUGCUUAAUAUCUAAAAUGUAUAUUUCCAAUUUCUUUUGGUAAA